CGGGGCUGGUGGAAGCCUGUCCACCGCGGCGCCUAGGCCGGAGUCACCGGUAGCCGAGUGGAGGCAGUUCCGAGGCCUCGGGUCCCCCGCGGCCAUGGGCAGUGAGUCACAGCGGGGAGCGGGGGCCUGGUCCCGCCCGGACUGGGGCCUCUCGCGGUCGUCCGGCCCGCGGGGCCGGGAAUGCGCGGGUCUGGCUAGGGCUGCCGCAAACGGUGCGAAGCGCACGGCCUCGGCCACGGCUCCUCCAGCCUCGCGAGGCCGUGGUCGGGCGGGUCCUGGGGACCACCCGGAGGCCGGGUGCGCUUCUUAGGCGGCUAGGAUGGAGGACGGCGCGGGGAAGCCGUUGGCUUGGGGGGACGGGGAGUCAAGGCGUCCGCCGCAGCCUGGACUACUUGUAAUUUUUCUACAUCUUGGGAAGCUCCUUUUUUAAAAUUCCUGAAUCACCGUUUCCUGAGGUGGUGUGAUGAGGAAGCUUGUAGACUGUGCCAUCAUCCAUGUCAAUGGAGACUGGCCAGAGGAAGUAGUCCGAGCCACACGACUGGCUUUUGAAUAUCAGCACCAAUUCCGCAAAGAUGUGAUUAUUGAUUUAUUAUGCUACAGGCAGUGGGGCCAUAAUGAGUUGGAUGAGCCAUUCUUCACCAACCAACCCAGUCAUGUACAAAAUCAUCAGGAUCUCACUAUGUAACCCUGACUGGCCUGAAACUCCCUAUAUAGACCAUGCUGGCCUCAAACUGAGACCUCCUGGCCUCUGUCUCCCAAGUGCUGGGAUUAAAGGCAUACGCUACCAUAUCUGGCAAUAAUAUUUAUAGAUUAAUAAAAAAAUCCAA